GACGUAGGGCGCGAGCGUUGUCCGGAUUUAUUGGGCGUAAAGAGCUCGUAGGCGGCUUGUCGCGUCGUUCGUGAAAACCUGUGGCUCAACUACAGGCUUGCGGUCGAUACGGGCAGGCUGGAGUUCGGUAGGGGAGACUGGAAUUCCUGGUGUAGCGGUGAAAUGCGUAGAUAUCAGGAGGAACACCGAUGGCGAAGGCAGGUCUCUGGGCUGACACUGACGCUCAUGCACGAAAGCGUGGGGAGCAAACAGG
rnacentral:rRNA from 1 species